rnacentral:rRNA from 1 species
AUUGAACGCUGGCGGCAUGCUUUACACAUGCAAGUCGAACGGUAAGGCCCCUUCGGGGGUACACGAGUGGCGAACGGGUGAGUAACACGUGAGCAACCUACCCUUGACUCUGGAAUAACAGCUGGAAACAGCUGCUAAUACUGGAUACGACUUCCUGCGACAUCACAGGAGGUGGAAAGCUCCGGCGGUCAGGGAUGGGCUCGCGGCCUAUCAGCUAGUUGGUGAGGUAACGGCUCACCAAGGCUUCGACGGGUAGCCGGCCUGAGAGGGCGACCGGCCACACUGGGACUGAGAUACGGCCCAGACUCCUACGGGAGGCAGCAGUGGGGAAUAUUGCACAAUGGGCGCAAGCCUGAUGCAGCAACGCCGCGUGCGGGAUGACGGCCUUCGGGUUGUAAACCGCUUUCAGCUCCGACGAAGCGCAAGUGACGGUAGGAGCAGAAGAAGGACCGGCCAACUACGUGCCAGCCGCCGCCGUAACAC